AUAAUAAACACACAAUUUACACAAUCAAUAUUCAGCCAAAGACUCACCUAAACCAACCAAAAACACAAGUUUAAGCUAUAUUCCUCAUGAAAUUGAAAUUAAAUUUCAACUAACAAACUUGAAACUCAAAUAUCUUCCUCUAUACUUAAUCUUUUCACCUAAAGUUCAUUUUUUUCAUCUAAUUAUUCCCCUACGACUACGUCUCAACCUUUAAACUACACAA
rnacentral:lncRNA from 1 species